UAGAGUUUGAUCCUGGCUCAGGACGAACGCUGGCGGCGUGCUUAACACAUGCAAGUCGAACGAAGAGCGAUGGAAGCUUGCUUCUAUCAAUCUUAGUGGCGAACGGGUGAGUAACGCGUAAUCAACCUGCCCUUCAGAGGGGGACAACAGUUGGAAACGACUGCUAAUACCGCAUACGAUCCAACCUCGGCAUCGAGGAUGGAUGAAAGGUGGCCUCUAUUUAUAAGCUAUCACUGAAGGAGGGGAUUGCGUCUGAUUAGCUAGUUGGAGGGGUAACGGCCCACCAAGGCAAUGAUCAGUAGCCGGUCUGAGAGGAUGAACGGCCACAUUGGGACUGAGACACGGCCCAGACUCCUACGGGAGGCAGCAGCGGGGAAUCUUCCGCAAUGGGACGAAAGUCUGACGGAGCAACGCCGCGUGAGUGAUGACGGCCUUCGGGUUGUAAAGCUCUGUUAAUCGGGACGAAAGGUCUUCUUGCGAAUAGUUAGAAGAAUUGACGGUACCGGAAUAGAAAGCCACG
rnacentral:rRNA from 1 species